rnacentral:rRNA from 1 species
AGAUACCCUACUAUGCCCAACUGUAAAUACAGACCCGCUGCCCGCCAGAGAACAACGAGCUAAAGCUUAAAACUCAAAGGACUUGGCGGCACUCCACACCCCCCUAGAGGGGCCUGUCACAUAAUCGAUAAUCCACGAUACACCUCACCCCUUUUAUUUAGCCUAUAUACCGCCGUCGCCAGCCCAUCUUGAUAGAGGAGACCAAUGGGCCCAAUAGUCUCACCACACUAAUACGACAGGUCAAGGUGUAGCCAACAAAGCGGCAAAUGAUGAGCCACAUUGCCCUCAAAGCAAAACCAAAAUUGUAGUGAAACACGCACUUUAAGGUGAAUUUAACAGUAAGGUGGACAAGAAAACCCGCCUAAAGGCUGCUCUGGAGCGUGCACACACCGCCCGUCAC